ensembl:rRNA 5S_rRNA 5S ribosomal RNA
AUCUGCAGCUAUACCACCCUGAAGGCACCUGAUCUCAUCUGAUCUUGGAAGCUAAGCAGGGUAGGACCUGGUUAGUACUUAGAAGGGAGACCAUGGCAACUCUUACAAAGAAAACAUGUAAUUUCAGUGG